rnacentral:lncRNA from 1 species
ACAGGCUUUGCCGUCCACCAUCCCCUCCCUUACUGCAGUGGCCUGUGUGAUCCCAGGAUGUCCUUGAAGGAAGAUGUUAUCUGACCUGUGAAAUGAAUAGUGUUUCCACAAGAAUUGAACCAACUUUCCCUUAAGUUUAUUAGCCAGGAUAAUUGUAAAGCUCUUUUGUUCAUACAUGUUGAUGUAACAAUGAAAUUAGCCCUUCGAUUGCUACUUUCUUUGUGGCAAUUUGCAUAGCAUUACCAAUAAAGUGACUUUACUUGUGGAGCCAUCUCUUUGGCAGUCAACUCAGUCUAAUUAGAUUUUUCUCCUAGGAAAACUGUCAGUCUUUAUUACUAAGUAAUUAGUCCACAAUGGAAUAUUAAAUAUUUUUAGAAAUCAUCCACAUGACUUCUU